GGGCGUUUGUUGUUUUGCAAUAAUAUUCAUUAUUGGCCAUCAUCCAAGAAUUUUAGAAAAUAUCUUUUCGUGGUUAUUUUCAAAGAUGCAUACAUACAUAUAAACACGACUUUAAUAUCGAAUUCUUAUGUAACGGAAGGAAGCUGUUCCAAAUUGCGUUCUUGAGCCUAUUCCUCUCUCUCAUUGGUCUGUCGGUGGCACAGCCAGGCACGUGCCGAUCAGUACGAAAUUCAUCAGGUACGAAGUACAAACGCAUCGAUAUAUUGUUAACCUCAAAUUUCUAUGGACAGCCGACUUUACCAAUUGAUGCCUACGAAAGCGUGGAAAAUUCAUAGGAGAAGCAGCGUAUCGUCCUCGAGCUCGGCUAUAUCGUUCACGUAGGCGGAAAAUAAGUUUUUAUCGAUUACUAACCUACGACAACCAUCUGGCCCGGUCUGGCCCUCGACUAAUCGUGGCACACGUAAUAGGGGUGGAGCUCGAUUCCAAAGUCUCCCGAGAACAUCGCUGGAUAACUAAAUGAAUUCGAUAUCGGCAUCGCGAGGAUUUGGAAACACAACGCGAUGUCUGGAACAUUGUGUCACCAUGGUGCUCCUGUGGGAUUUUCCAUAAGCUUCACCGUCGGUUCGUUGUACUUUCGAUCCUUUUCAACGCAAAAUGAAUACAAAUUUUCAAGUCAAGAAAAAAAAUGUAAAAAAAGGAAGGAAUCACGAUCGGAAGAAAAAAAAUAUUUUAUCUCAUUUUUAUCUUAUCGAGGUAUGAUAGGCACUCGUAAUAGCCCCGAUAAGUCAAGAUUCUAGUAGAUACGAUAAAAACCGGAAAAGAACUUUUCAAGCGACAUCGCGCUUAGCAAUAUCUAAAUAGCUCAAUCGUUGGAAAACACGAAGCUGACGUAUCAAGACAUCUUGUUGAGAAAUUUAUUGUUGACAUUUUACCGUUGGCUCUUUGGGUCUCGUCUUAAAUCCGUUAAAUUUUCUUCUUAAAUCAAGAAGCAUAACAGACGGUCGUUAUUCAGUUGUCCCAGAAAUGCGUGUAAAUGCGUUAAUAGAGUUCAUCGUGAAGCUGAUCAUAAAAUAUUGAGUUUCUUGAUAAGGGCUAGCUAAUGACGAUGGCGAGAAAGAGACGAAGAUGAACGGGGAGCAUAGAAUCGUCUCUUCAUGGUUGGUCAUCUCCCUGAAGAUUCUUCGAAAUGAUUUAAUGGCAAGACGUUAAUUAACGGCAAGUCCCUCGUCACUGACCUUGCCACCACUCUUUGUGGAAGUAGCCAUAUUAUAGCGUCGACUAUACGUCUGGGACCUACCCCAAUCAAAUCGAGACUAAACUUCUUCCCUCUCCCAUGGUAGAGCUCGCUCUAAUCGCUUUCAGUCACGCUACGAGGAGCUAUAGGAAGAGAACGAGUGGAAAGGACAAAUAGAGUCACACGAUAUCAACGCAUUAAAGUAGUCAAAUUUUUAUAACAAUCUCAAAACAUUAGAAAAACUUUUAUUCAAAUGCAAUUGACUGGUAGGAAGAAAAAGAAAGAAAAUUGUCGAGCAAGGAACAUUCUCGAAGCUACAAGUCUCCAAUAAUUUGCAUAUACCAACAGUAUUCCAGACAUCUUUGAGAAAUUCGAGGAAGAUGAUAUAGAAAAUUUUCACCUUUCUACCUUCUUCCUGCUUCUCUUGCUUGGCGACGAAGAGGAGUACGACGACGACGACGACGACGACGACGACGACGUCUCGUCGAUGAGCUUUCGGGCUUUCGCUAAAACGCUAUAUAGUCCAGGUUCGAGGGAGAAUGCCGUGUAGUCUUCGGUCUGACGCACGAUAUAACGUUGGCAUGGUUGGAGGACUAUAGUCACUGGCUAGACUGCACCCCCGUCGAGUGUAGGCGGAGGGGGAAGGUCGACGUGGUUCGAGGCUUGGCUCGGAGGGGUGAGAAGGGAUGCAGACCGGAGCGAGAGAGGGCGGAGACUCCUACCACGGUGUUCGAGAAUCAUGGAUAGAAUUGAUAGAUCAGAUAGAUCAAGAUGUUUAAUCGCUCGUUUCGAACUUCUUGAAGUGAAUUUAACCGAUUUGCCAAUGGCGUCAACUCAAUAUCGUCGAUUCGAAGCAUCGCGAGAACGCUACUCGAGUCUCCGGAAGUGCGAAGCGUCGGCUGUCUGGCGAACGAACGAACGGAUGGUUGGACGGAUGGAUAGGAUACGCAGGGACAGGUGGCUCUUCGACGAUCCUAAGUGGGCAGGAAGGACACCCGGGCUCUGACGAGGGGCGAGAGACAGACGGAUGGACUAGCUUGUUCGCUUACAAGUCAGAGAGAGAGAGAGAGAGAGAGAGAGAGAGAGAGAGAGAGAGAGAGAGAGAGAGAGAGAGGGUACAGUUUCGUGUUCGCCCGAUGCGUGCAAUGCAAUUUCCCGCAGGGCCGUCUGUCCGCUUGUGCGGUCGUGCAUGCCACUUACGCCAUUGUUCCUCCCCCUUUUCGCAUACGAAAGUGAACAUUCCCGAGAUCCGGGAGGAAUAUAACGCGAGCGAGCUGCUGACCCCUUGUCUCAAGGCGUAACACCUCGUCUACGAGAUGUAACUGAAUAAUGCUCUCUCUACCUCCCUCUCUAUCUCAUCAGCAUUAACAUCAGGAUGUAGAUCUAAAAGAUGAAUAUCUCUUGGUCGAGCAAGCUCUCGGAAUGCGAGAGAAGAAAGGAAGGAAGACAUUCAAGGAUCGAUUCGAGCAAGCGGAAAACUAUGCGACUGGAGAAUAAUUUAUGCGAUAUUUUCCUGCAAAGCGGUACCGUGCGAGGGCAUGAAUUGGAAACGUUCCACUUGGACUGGUUCCAUCGGUCCAAGAUAGGACGGAUCAUGCAAGAGUUUUCGCGCGUUUUCGUUUCCUUCUGACCGAAUCCAGAACUCGUUCAUCCUUUUUAAUAUUUUCUUUUUUUUUCUUUUUUAUCAAACUUGAAGACUGAUUUUGAAAAAUUGAGAAAAGAGUAACUCUGUUGUACGUUUUCGACGCCUCGAGGGGCAACGUUAACACUUGGAAUUCGUUCAUUGUUCGAUUCUCGAUACGGUGAAUAAAGUUGCAUUCUGAAGGGCCAUCGUCGUGCAUCAAAAACGAAGGGGUCCGCGAGUUGUAGCGCUCUGUCGUCGAGAGUAAAGCUGCCGAGGGGCAGAAGGGAGUGAACCUCGCCGACCGUAGGGAGGGGAAGCAGCGAAGAGUCAUGACGUCAGCCCUCUUGUCUAAUCGUUCAGCCGUCUGUCCGACGACGGCAACGACGACGAUGACGACGACGACAACGGUGACGGUCGACGUUGUACCAAAGAGAGUGCACGCAGACUUUGACGUAACGUUUCAAUGUCAUGGUUGCGCGUCAACUCGAAUCGACCCGCCAUCCAUCCUACUGCAUAAAGUUUCAUCUCCAUUCACUCGUGUCAGAAACAACAAGGGUCGUUUGACACGGAUAACGAUGAUGACAAUGGCGAGGAGCUUUGCGUGUCUACGUUGGAUUAAAAAAUUCAAAUGCGAAUGUGGAAAGAAAAACGAGCUACAAAUUACGAUCUUGUCCAUACCUACCAAGAAAUUUUUAUCGUAGCACGAACGAACGAACGAACGAACGAACGAACGAACGAACGAACGAACGAACGAACGAAAGAAAGAACAAACGGAAGAGACCGUCUCUUUCUCUUUCUUCGGUAUGUUUUACCAGACGAAGCAGCCGCUUCGUUUCUAUCGUGUUUCUUACGAUUCCGUUAUUCCUCCCUGUACAAAUUCUCAUUAAAACCAGGAGGUAAAAACGUUAAGUGUCUUACAGUGUCUCGCAAUUACCAACAUAGGGAAAAUAUAUAUAAAGUAACGAAUCUAAACUCAUUUAAAGACUCGUGGAAAAGCAGAAACGUCAUGGGUUCAUUGUAACUGUCGAUUAAAAGACACAAGUGGAAUAAUGGUGUAACGAAAUAGAAAGGAUUGAUUUCAUAUAGAAUUAGUUUUUAGAUGAAUCAUGUCUUUGCAUAACGUCAAUGUAAAAUUCUCGAGAGAUAGGUGUUUGAGUUUGCAGGAGGAGAAACGCUCUGACGUUUCUUGGCAGUGCGAACAACGUGUACACUUUACAACGACAGGGUGAGAAAGAGAGAGAGGAGAAGAAAGAGAAGGAGAUGCAAAGCGGUUGGUCGGAGUCGAAGGAAAGCGUAGAAAGACGUUGUUGACGAGACGAUAUAUCCAAAGGUAGUAGCAGCCGGUGUUGACAAAACACCGAGACGUCGAUAUGUGUACCCGCGGAAGGCGCUUCAUAGCAGUCGAUGACACAGCCAGCGAGCAGACGGUCUGACCUGGAUGCCUUGUUUGCUUCGCUACCAUCGGCUCGACCCGUCUGCACGCUCCUCUCUCUCUCUCUCUCUCUCUCUCUCUCUCUCAAACUUGUACACAGAUACAGGUCCCUACAUGCAUUCGCACACAGUCGCGUCUAUACUCCAUAUAUCCAGACUCGAUACUGCAACGUGCGUGCCAUGAGGUUUUGUCGCAACCUCGAGCACGUGUAUACUUACACUUUGUGUAAGUGUGUUUGCUCGUGUUUCGUGUGUACCACAAAGCUUGCAGAAAGAGAUAGAGGUACUCGUAGUGUAAAGUCUAGGUUUUUCCUUCACGCUGCUUGGUAAAUAAAAGACACAGCUUGUUUGAAAUUUCCUCGCUCGCUUUUUUUUUCAAAACUUUACGUUUUAUGUGAUUUUCUCAAAGAUUGAUCUUGAUCGUUCCCUGGCCAAGUUGGAUUAAGUAUACCGAUCUGUUAUACUUUUUCUAACGCAUCUCUAAAUAAGAGUAAUGGACCACGAGCAGUUACGUUUCACAGUAGGAGCUCGAAGGAAAUAGUGAUUCAUUUCGUGAUACCCCACAACGAGAAAAAUGUCCCUGGAAAGGAGCUGCCAUUUCUACGUAAUUUGCAGUGAAAGAGACACUCGCCGUCUCCGCGUUUCUCUCCUCGUAAAAAGUUUCUUCUUCGAGAUUGGGUCGUGAGAUGAGUACUCGCGACGAUAUAUCGCUGCGUCUACUCGUCUUUACGCUCGUUAAAAGGAGGAAAAGUAUUCGAACCUAGGUAGAAACAUUGAAUACCUAAAUAGAAAUUGACUAAUUAGAUGUGUUUAAUAAAACGUCUUAUAAUUACUUGAAAUCAUUUUUGCUUUUGAAAAUUGUAUUAACGAUUUAAUUUAGUAUUUCAGCGCUUAUGACUUGAACGAUUUAUGACACACGGUCGUGAACUUGAUUAUUGAAAAAAACAAAUAAACAAAUAAAAAUUUAGAUCUUUUCAAUGGAUAUUUCAUUUAUUGUCACGAAGCAGACGUUCAAAGGGAUCUCUCUUUUUGUAUCUAAUAAUUUACGAUUACGAUUUCACUUGGCAAUUUUUUUUGUUUACUGGGUGGGAGAAAAGAGAAAGCAAUGAAAGUCGUCGAGGUAACGCGUGGGCGAUAGAUAACCGUUAGGAGCAUCGUAAUAGGCGCAUGAGUUAAUUAGAGGGAUUUAAGAGCCGACAAGCAUACCGGCAUUACGUGCACCAAUCGAGUGAAUCGCUGUCUCUCUGUCGUCGAUAAUUACCAAUACAACAACAACGAUAGCGACAAAGUGCUUUCGUCUUAAAUCGAGGAAUUCCAAGUAUAGUAGUCGAUGAUUAAAUCAAAGUAUCAUCACGGCGCCAGUUAAUUAAUUAGAAAUUUGCUUAAUUAAGUGAUUUAGUAGGCCGAAUACCGUAGCAAUUAGCACGUGUACCCGCCGGCGUCUGAGAGGAGCGCCGAGUAAACAGAGGCAAGACUAGAGAAAGAGCCUUGGGAAGAGGCAAAGAAAACAAAGACUGGUGUUAUUUCUUACCUAAUCAAAAGUAAGUAAAAAGAAGAGAGAGAGAGAGAGAGAGAGAGAAUUCUCUAAUUGAAAGUAUAGAUAAAAUAUGUUAGAAAUGUAAACGUCAAAUCGAAUACGCUGCGUCAGAGUUGCGUCAGAGAAAAACGCAUUCUGCAUGGCUUUCCAUUUGUAUGCACCCUUCUUGAUGCGUUUCGGACAAUGAUUGGAUACUUCCAUUAGCGCGCAUAGAUCGAACUUAACGUUUAAAUUCUUUCUUCUUCUCUCUCUCUUAUGCGCACGUACAGUGAACGUACCUGUAUUUUAAACAUAUCGAAAAUUAACAGGAAGUUUAAUUAAAAAACGUAAAUUAAGGUUCCAGUGAUUAAAAUACCGACUGAUUUUCUACAGUCGUUACCACAAAUUUCCAAUUAACUUUUUUGUUUUUUCUUCUUUAUUUUUCAGCAAACUUGAAGAUUGGAAAUAUAUUUUCCUCUUCCUCUCUCUCUCUCUCUCUCUCUCUCUCUCUCUCCUUCGCGUUCUUUUAUUUGUAUCCCGUCUGAAGCCUUAAGAGAUUUCUCUGAAAUAUUCCAAAGCCCUGGUUACGCGUAUCAAAGGAAUCCUCGCGCUCAUUACACAUACUUUCCCCUUUCCGCUUUGAAACAUAUAAAGCGAGGUUGCGAAGUUGUAAAAGAGGUGCUUAAAUUCGGUGACUUUCUUCGUUGAAGGAAGAAAAAAAAAGGAAGAAGGAGAGAAUGUCUACAGCGUACGCCAGGUCUUCUUAGAGCAUACACAGACACAUACAUGGAAUAUAUCGAAGAUGGCGUCUAGGUAGACUAGACGAUAGAAAAAUAGAAAAAAGAAUAGAUUAGACGAUGGCUAGACUUAUCUCCUAUAGACAAACAUCCUUGUACACAUGGGAUCAAAUUUUUGCGUUCUCUUUAAACCCAAUCGCGGAAAACGAAUCGAGUACCAUAGAAAACGAACGUGGAAAACGAACGGUGAACAAUAUUUCCUAGCACCGUCGCGCCGGUCGCCGAUAAAUACAGACUUCGCGCAUAGCGGCGCCCUACCGGUUUUGCGGUAUCUCGAACGGCUUAAUGGCACUGUUAACUGCCGUAUUAUUUAACGGGGAUUUAUGCAUUGCAGUCUGCCGAUUAAAACACUACGGUGGUUAGGGAGAGGGGGGUAGGGAGAGCGUGGUAGAGGACCAAGCGAAAGGGUGGCGAUGAGGUUUGGGUGCUAUGAGUGGAAGUGAGAUAGAAAUGGAGAGGGAAACAGAGAGGGAAAGAGAGAGAGAGAGAGAGAGAGAGAGAAGCGGUGGCGACUAGAGCCGACAAGGAUGAGAGGGUUGGCGGAGUGCACGAUACCCUUAAUCCUUCAUAAUAGCUUGCUCUGAUAAACAGUCUACUCCCUCACCCUUCCCAUCUUUUUCACCACGACUGGAAACUCGGGACUCGUAAAAAUCCUCAAACCGAUUAUAUACAUAUAGGCACUAUUCCGUAGAAUCUGAUCAUCGGCAGAAAGAGUAGAAUAAUCUGGUAAAAAGUGAUAUAGCAACAAAUCGUUCGGUGAAUACUUAAAGAGAAGAAGAAGAAACGAAGAGUAAGGAAGUAGAAAGAGUGAGAGACGAAAGGCUCGUGAAUCAUCCACGUCACGAUCGCUGCCAAUGGGAUCUCGGAUCUCCCGGGCGAUGCUAUUGGAGGAUUUACAUCUCCUGUCUGUGCCGAAUGCCAGAGGAACUUGGUUCGUGUUGCUGCUGCUGCUGCUAGUAGUGCUGGUGCAACGAGGACGAUGGUAAAUCCGGUUGGGCAUAUAUUCGCGGAUGCGCGAAUACGACGAGCUCUCGUGGAGGGAAAAGAGAUGGAACGAAAGGAGAAGGAGGAAGAGGGAGGAAAGAUAGAGCUAGAAUGCGUAUAUGUGUGAGAGAGAAAGAGGAGAGAGAAACGGAGCAUGGUCGAUGUGUCUAGCCUAGCCCGGUUGGCUGGCUGGCUGGCUGGCUGGCUGGCUGGCUGGCUCGGCUGGCUGGAUGAACCAGGGACCGUCUAGCUUGCGCUGCCCCGCACAAACUCGGCAUUAUCUAUACGUCUAGACACCCCUGCGCCACACCAGAGAAAAGAGAGAGAGAGAGAGAGAGAGAGAGAGAGAGAGAGAGAGAGAGAGAGGGAGAGAGAGAGAGAGGGAGAGAGAGAUAGACUGUAGGCAGCUUGGCGUACUGCUUGUAAUUUACAGCAAGCCCCACCGUGUCUUUCUACGCUCGCUCUAACCUACCAACUUCCUCUCCUUCUCUUCUUCUCCAUCUUGGUCCGUCUCGUUACACUCUCUCCUAUCUAGCUAGUCUUCCUGUGUAAACUCGCCCCACAAGAUAUAGUUAUACAACUUUGUUGUUAUCACGCUAAGAUGCAACCACCAAUCGUGGUCAGUUUGAAUUGAUUCAAAUUGUAAUAAAUAAAUCUUUUAUGCGAUGCUCUUGAUGAGAAAUUUUAGUCGUCGUUUCUUUAAAUUUAAUUAGAGCUCGGUCCCAUUUGAUCGUUUUAGAAAAUAAUUGAAUUCCUUGGAAAAUUUCACUCUGGGAUGGUGUUUGUUAACAGGAUCGUAACUUUUAGCUCUUGGGGACCACGAAAAGAGCACGCACUUUCUCAGACGGUAUCGUUACGAGAUUAAACCGACCGAAUCGCCUUAGACUCGACCUUCAAAGAAACUCUCUUGUCCACCUCCAAGUACCUAGAGUAAGAAAGGGAGAGAACACAAAGUUUCUCCGGCCGGGACUCGAGAGAGGCAAGAAUUAAGGAAGAAAGGUAGGAAGGAAGAACACGAGUCAGGUGCGUACGACGUCGAACUUGGUGAGUUUCGAGAACGCAAUUUUCCCAGAGGAAUCGGUCCUCGUUAAUGCCAUGGCGACCAUAAAGUCGAACAGAGAAGAGAGUAAGAGAGCAAGAGAGAGAGAGAGAAAGUUAUACUUACUAAGAAGAAGAAGAGAGUUAAAGGAGGAAGCUCGGAGGUUGUAGCCGUCGUCGAAGUUCGAGGGGUUCAACGAGCUGACGCUUUAAGCAAUGUAACUUACAGAAACUACGCUUCCGAGCGGUCUCGGGCGCAGAUUAGUCGUAAUCUCGGCGCAUUGCACUCUGCAGAUCCACUUCUCCUCUUCCUCUCUCUUCCUCUCACCAUUUAUGUUCGUCGUGAGAAAGAGAGAGAGAGAGAGAGAGAGAGAGAGAGAACUCUAUCGACGUCUCCUUCUCCUCCUUUGCGACCUUCCUCGUGCUUCCUUCGUGUGUUACACGACGAAGUCGCACCGAUAUAACACCGAGUCUCGUAACUUCCAACACAUACACAUACCCAGCUUAGUCGGUGCUUAUAUCGCCGCUUUGAUUAUUUCCUAGAGGCUUAAGCCAAGUCUACGCCCUCGCUCGCCUCGCUGCUAUCAACGGGUUACAACCGCGGCGAAGAUUAAACGCUUUCUCGAUUUACGAGUCCGCGGUAUCCCUUAGCCUUCGGCUUUUCUUAAGGAACAUGGCUUGAUUCAUCUAUAUUUAGCUCUCGCUAUUGGUCGAUAUUCGAUGUAAACAACUGAUGUCUUCGUGCUUCCCAGAGAGAAAAAAAGAUAUUUUCUUUGUGAAAAGAGAACAUAAAAAUUUCUUCUUUUUCUUUUUUUCAUCGAUUACUCGACCUGGUAUAAAAUAUUAAGAAUAGGAUUUAAAUCUCGUGACAAAUACGUUGGCAACGCCUAACGUGGUAACUAUAUUGAACAAACAAGAUAGAAUAUGUUCGUUGGUGAGUUAGAACGAGAGUCGCUUUAAUAAUUAAUUAAUUAAUGAGAC